AAUGGGUGUCAGUGGGUGUCAGUGGGGUCAAUGGGUGUCAAUGGGGUCAAUGGGCGUCAAUGGGGUCAAUGGGUGUCCAUAGGUGUCAAUGGGUGUCAAU